AGAGUUUGAUCCUGGCUCAGGAUGAACGCCGGCGGUGUGCCUAAUACAUGCAAGUCGUACGCACUGGCCCAACUAAUUGAUGGUGCUUGCACCUGAUUGACGAUGGAUCACCAGUGAGUGGCGGACGGGUGAGUAACACGUAGGUAACCUGCCCCGGAGCGGGGGAUAACAUUUGGAAACAGAUGCUAAUACCGCAUAACAACAAAAGCCGCAUGGCUUUUGUUUGAAAGAUGGCUUUGGCUAUCACUCUGGGAUGGACCUGCGGUGCAUUAGCUAGUUGGUAAGGUAACGGCUUACCAAGGCGAUGAUGCAUAGCCGAGUUGAGAGACUGAUCGGCCACAAUGGAACUGAGACACGGUCCAUACUCCUACGGGAGGCAGCAGUAGGGAAUCUUCCACAAUGGGCGCAAGCCUGAUGGAGCAACACCGCGUGAGUGAAGAAGGGUUUCGGCUCGUAAAGCUCUGUUGUUGGAGAAGAACGUGCGUGAGAGUAACUGUUCACGCAGUGACGGUAUCCAACCAGAAAGUCACGGCUAACUACGUGCCAGCAGCCGCGGUAAUACGUAGGUGGCAAGCGUUAUCCGGAUUUAUUGGGCGUAAAGCGAGCGCAGGCGGUUGCUUAGGUCUGAUGUGAAAGCCUUCGGCUUAACCGAAGAAGUGCAUCGGAAACCGGGCGACUUGAGUGCAGAAGAGGACAGUGGAACUCCAUGUGUAGCGGUGGAAUGCGUAGAUAUAUGGAAGAACACCAGUGGCGAAGGCGGCUGUCUGGUCUGCAACUGACGCUGAGGCUCGAAAGCAUGGGUAGCGAACAGGAUUAGAUACCCUGGUAGUCCAUGCCGUAAACGAUGAGUGCUAGGUGUUGGAGGGUUUCCGCCCUUCAGUGCCGGAGCUAACGCAUUAAGCACUCCGCCUGGGGAGUACGACCGCAAGGUUGAAACUCAAAGGAAUUGACGGGGGCCCGCACAAGCGGUGGAGCAUGUGGUUUAAUUCGAAGCAACGCGAAGAACCUUACCAGGUCUUGACAUCCCGAUGCUAUUUCUAGAGAUAGAAAGUUACUUCGGUACAUCGGUGACAGGUGGUGCAUGGUUGUCGUCAGCUCGUGUCGUGAGAUGUUGGGUUAAGUC
rnacentral:rRNA from 1 species